UGAUGCGGAGACAAUGGAGAGAACAGAGACAUCAUUUGAAGAGACGAUGGCUCAGAAAGACCUCCAGAGUCCAUCUCCUCGUAGCUUCCAUUGUCCGUCCCCCGUCAGAUCUUCAGCUCUUCCUCAGAUUUUGCAGUCUGUGGAGGAAACAAAAGUUGAUGCGGAGACAAUGGAGAGAACAGAGACAUUUUUUGAAGAGACGAUGGCUCAGAAAGACCUCCAGAGUCCAUUUCCUCGUAGCUUCCAUCGUCCGUCCCCCGUCAGAUCUUCAGCUCUUCCUCAGAUUUCGCAGUCUGUGGAGGAACCAAAUGUUGAUACGGAGACAAUGGAGAGAACAGAGACAUCAUUUGAAGAGACGAUAGCUCAGAAAGACCUCCAGAGUCCAUCUCCUCGUAGCUUCCAUCGUCCGUCCCUCGUCAAAUCUUUUGCUCUUCCUCAGAUUUCACAGUCUGUAGAGGAGACAAAAGUUUAUGCCAUGCCAGUGGAAGAACGCCAGAGUCCGUCUCCUGUCCACACCCGUCCUUCCUCGUCUGUGAAACUGCCCAAAAUUCGGACUCAAGUAAAGCCAUCACUUCAGAAGUCUGACAAACCAGAGACUCGCAAAUAUGAUUCUGCAGUCUCGGGCAGCAUUGAGGAGCGGUACAUGAAGAACAGCGAGGAGGACGGUGACAAACUGCUUCGUGCAAGCAUGAAAGACCCAUCAUUCGUAAUUGACAUCAAAGCUCAAGAAAACAACCUCCAGCAGCUGGAUCGAGCUUUUCAAAAUAACAACAUUUCCUCUGAAAUGUACAACCUGUGCAGAGGAACCGUCAAUCAGACACUUAAGAGUGUUGAGCUGCGUCUUGGAUGUCUUUUACGGAUAUACAUCAAAUAUGUCCAAAUGAAGCAAUUAAGGUAAGAAAAACAUCCUUUGGCUAACUGUUUGUUUGAUUAUAGGCUAAUUAUGUGUUUUGUGGUAAAUAAUUUUACAAUGUGCCAUAACAAAGAUCUAAUUUUUGCUCAUUGCACGUUUUCUCUGUUAUACAGGAAGACGCUCGAUGGAAAUUUCAAGGCGACCAGAAAUUUAAGGGAUGGACUGGAGUUCAAAAAAGUUCAUUCUCAGCUCUGCAAAUUUGACCGUUUCCAGCAGAGUGUGAACAAAAUCUGGGACGCCAAGCAAGCCUCCACUGAUGAGACACGCAGACUGUGC
rnacentral:lncRNA from 1 species